rnacentral:rRNA from 1 species
GAUGAACGCUGACAGAAUGCUUAACACAUGCAAGUCGAUGGGGAAGUGGUGCUUGCACCAUGGUAACCAUGGCGGACGGGUGAGUAACGCGUAAGGGACUUACCUGCAGGACUGGGAUAACAGGGGGAAACUCCUGACAAGACCGGAUAAUGUCAUGGAGCUGCAUGGCUUUAUGAUGAAAGGAGACGCCUGCGGAGAGCCUUGCGUCCUAUUAGCUAGUUGGUGAGGUAAUGGCUCACCAAGGCGAAGAUAGGUAGCCGGCCUGAGAGGGUGGACGGCCACAAGGGGACUGAGAUACGGCCCUUACUCCUACGGGAGGCAGCAGUGGGGAAUAUUGGACAAUGGGGGCAACCCUGAUCCAGCAAUUCUGUGUGCACGAAGAAGGUUUUCGGAUUGUAAAGUGCUUUCAGCAGGGAAGAAGGAAGUGACGGUACCUGCAGAAGAAGCGACGGCUAAAUACGUGCCAGCAGCCGCGGUAAUACGUAUGUCGCGAGCGUUAUCCGGAAUUAUUGGGCAUAAAGGGCAUCUAGGCGGCCUGACAAGUCAGGGGUGAAAACCUGCGGCUCAACCGCAGGCCUGCCUUUGAAACUGUGAGGCUGGAGUACCGGAGAGGUGGACGGAACUGCACGAGUAGAGGUGAAAUUCGUAGAUAUGUGCAGGAAUGCCGAUGAUGAAGAUAGUUCACUGGACGGUAACUGACGCUGAAGUGCGAAAGCCGGGGGAGCGAACAGG